rnacentral:misc_RNA from 1 species
AGUCGUAACAAGGUUUCCGUAGGUGAACCUGCGGAAGGAUCAUUAAAAUUAAUUUAUUACAUUGUUUUUGAAGCAAACACUAAUAACCAUUAAUAUUCAAUAACUUAGAAAAAUCAAAACUUUCAACAACGGAUCUCUUGGUUCUCGCAUCGAUGAAGAACGCAGCGAAUUGCGAUACGUAUCAUGACUUGCAGACGUGAAUCAUCAAUCUUUGAACGCACAUUGCGCCUUGAGGUAUUCCUCAAGGCAUGCCUGUUUGAGCGUCGGCUCCCUUCAAACCCCCGGGUUUGGUGUUGCCUUCCGAAAUAUCACAGUUGUUGCAAUACGUUACUUCAACUUUAUUCUUUCGCCCUCAAAUCAGGUAGGACUACCCGCUGAACUUAAGCAUAUCAAUAAGCGGAGGAAAAGAAACCAACAGGGAUUGCCUCAGUAACGGCGAGUGAAGCGGCAAAAGCUCAAAUUUGAAAUCCUUCGGGAGUUGUAAUUUGUAGGUUGGGAGACCCCGCGGCUAGUGGCACCAAGUCCCUUGGAACAGGGCGCCUUAGAGGGUGAGAGCCCCGUAGGUACCACAAUACCGUCUUGUGUCUCCUCUCCAAAGAGUCGAGUUGUUUGGGAAUGCAGCUCAAAGUGGGUGGUAAAUUCCAUCUAAAGCUAAAUACCGGCGAGAGACCGAUAGCGAACA